rnacentral:rRNA from 1 species
AGAGCCAACGGUGAAUGCCUUGGCGCCAAUAACCGAAGAAGGACGUGGAUGACUGCGAAAAGUUACGGUGAGCCGUCUAUCAGGCUUUGACCCGUAAAUGUCCGAAUGAGGAAACUCUGCACCCGUCAUGGGGUGCAACUCUGAAGUGAAUUCAUAGCUUCAGUUGAGGGAACCGGGAGAAUUGAAACAUCUCAGUACCCCGAGGAAAGAAAAGCAAACGCGACUCCCUUAGUAGCGGCGAGCGAAGAGGGAAGAGACUAAACCGUGCUGGCGCAAUAGCCUGAUGGCGUUGCCAGUGCGGUGUUGUGGGACGACUAGACACUGCAUCAGAAGUGUCGCGAAGUUACAAAGUUGCUGGGUAGAAGAAUUGUCUGGGAAGACAAGCCAUAGUGGGUAAUAGCCCCGUAUUCGAAACUUACGCAGCCUUCGAGUUCAAUCCCAAGUAAUGCCGGAUCCGAGCAAUCUGGCAUGAAUCCGUGGGGACCACCCCAUAAGUCUAAGUAUUUAUUGGCGACCGAUAGUGAACCAGUACCGUGAGGGAAAGGUGAAAAGAACCCCGGGAGGGGAGUGAAAUAGUACCUGAAACCGUUGGUUUACAAACAGUCAGAGAGUCGUAUUGCGACCGCAAGGUUGCUUUGCCUCGAUGGCGUGCCUUUUGAAGAAUGAGCCUACGAGUUGCGGUAUGUGGCGAGGUUAACCCGUGAGGGGUAGCCGGAGCGAAAGCGAGUCUGAAUAGGGCGUAUAGUCGCAUGCUGUAGACCCGAAGCCAAGUGAUCUUGCCAUGGGCAGGUUGAAGCGGGGGUAAGACCCCGUGGAGGACCGAACACACGUCAGUUGAAAAUGGCGGUGAUGACCUGUGGUAAGGGGCGAAAGACCAAUCAAACUUGGCGAUAGCUGGUUCUCCUCGAAAUGCAUUUAGGUGCAGCGUCAUGCGUUCAGUACCGGAGGUAGAGCACUGGAUGGGUUAGGGGGCCUACAAGCUUACCGACCCCAGCCAAACUCCGAAUUACGGUACUCCAGAGCAUGGCAGUGAGACCACGGGGGAUGAGCUUCGUUGGUCGAAAGGGAAACAGCCCAGAUCAUCAUCUAAGGCCCCAAAUUCAGGACUAAGUGGAAAACGAUGUGAAAUCGCAUAGACAGCCAGGAGGUUGGCUUAGAAGCAGCCACCCUUAAAAGAGUGCGUAACAGCUCACUGGUCGAGUGAUUUUGCGCGGACAAUUUAACGGGGCUCAAGUCCUGAGCCGAAGAUAUGGAUUGCAACGAGAUUCGUCUUGUUGCAGUGGUAGAGGAGCGUUGAUGCAGCAGUGAAGCGGCGGGAGAACCCGACGUGGAGCGGCAUCAAGUGAGAAUGUAGGCAUGAGUAGCGAGAGAGGGGUGAGAAACCCCUCCGCCGAAAGCCCAAGGUUUCCUGGGGAAGGCUAAUCCUCCCAGGGUAAGUCGGGAGCUAAGGAGAGGCCGCGAGGCGUAUCCGAUGCACAACUGGUUGAUAUUCCAGUACCGCCGUGUACACGUCAAGCCCAAGAACGAAAAAGUGGGGGCUGCCUUCGGGCGAACCCACGGCUUUGUUUGCGGGUAGUUGAAGGGGGACACAGGAGGGUAGAUGAUCCGGGGCGAUGGUAGUCCCCGGGUAAGCGUGUAGGAGGUUGCCGAUGAGAGUUGGUGACAUUAACUCCGAGACGCGAUGCCGAUCUCUUUUGAGAGAAGUCAUUGAUCCCACACUGUCGAGAAAAGCCCAGCAGCGAGUUGACACGGCGCCCGUACCCCAAACCGACUCAGGUGGGCGAGUAGAGAAUACUAAGGCGAUCGGGAGAACUAUGGUUAAGGAACUCGGCAAAAUGCCUCCGUAACUUCGGAAGAAGGAGGACCCUUUUUGGUGAAAGGACUUCGCGUCCUCGAGCUAGAAAGGGUGGCACAGAGCAGGGGGUAGCGACUGUUUAACAAAAACACAGCAGCGUGCCAAGCCGCAAGGCGAUGUAUACGCUGUGACGCCUGCCCAAUGCUGGAAGGUCACGAGGAACGGUUAGCCGUAAGGCGAAGCUGUGAAUCUAAGCCCCAGUGAAUGGCGGCCGUAACUAUAACGGUCCUAAGGUAGCGAAAUUCCUUGUCGGGUAAGUUCCGACCUGCACGAAUGGCGUAACGACUUCCCCGCUGUCUCAACCAUAGACCCGGCGAAAUUGAAGUACGAGUAAAGAUGCUCGUUUGCUGCGGAAGGACGGAAAGACCCCGUGCACCUUUACUAUAACUUGGUGUUGAGCUUCGACCUUAACUGUGUAGCUUAGGUGGGAGACUGUGAAGCGCGAGCGCUAGUUCGCGUGGAGUCAUUAGUGAAAUACCACCCUGUUCAGUUUGGAGCUCUAACCUCGAUCCAUAAUCUGGAUCAGGAACAGUGCCAGGCGGGUAGUUU